ensembl:snRNA U6 U6 spliceosomal RNA
GUACUCAAUUUAGCAGCAGCACAUAUACUAAAAUUGGAAUGAUACAGAAAAGAUUAGCAUGUCCCCUGUUUAAGGAUGACACAUGACUUUGGGAAGCAUUCCCAUUAUUU